UACGUAGGGUGCAAGCGUUGUCCGGAAUUAUUGGGCGUAAAGAGCUCGUAGGCGGUUUGUCGCGUCUGCUGUGAAAACCCGAGGCUCAACCUCGGGCCUGCAGUGGGGUACGGGCAGACUAGAGUGCGGUAGGGGGAGAUUGGAAUUCCUGGUGUAGCGGUGGAAUGCGCAGAUAUCAGGAGGAACACCAAUGGCGAAGGCAGAUCUCUGGGCCGUAACUGACGCUGAGGAGCGAAAGCAUGGGGGAGCGAACAGG
rnacentral:rRNA from 1 species